rnacentral:rRNA from 1 species
GACGGAGGGUGCUAGCGUUGUUCGGAAUUACUGGGCGUAAAGGGCGCGUAGGCGGCUCUGUUAGUCGGGUGUGAAAGCCCGGGGCUCAACCCCGGAACGGCACCCGAUACUCCAGGGCUCGAGACCGGGAGAGGAGGGUGGAAUACCCAGUGUAGAGGUGAAAUGCGUAGAUAUUGGGUGGAACACCGGUGGCGAAAGCGGCUCUCUGGCCCGGUUCUGACGCUGAGGCGCGAAAGCGUGGGGAGCAAACAGG